rnacentral:rRNA from 1 species
GAGUGCAGAAGGGGAGAGNGGAAUUCCAUGUGUAGCGGUGAAAUGCGUAGAUAUAUGGAGGAACACCGGUGGCGAAAGCGGCUCUCUGGUCUGUAACUGACGCUGAGGCUCGAAAGCGUGGGGAGCGAACAGGAUUAGAUACCCUGGUAGUCCACGCNGUAAACGGUGAGUGCUAGGUGUUGGAUCCUUUCCGGGAUUCAGUGCCGCAGCUAACGCAUUAAGCACUCCGCCUGGGGAGUACGACCGCAAGGUUGAAACUCAAAGGAAUUGACGGAGGCCCGCACAAGCGGUGGAGCAAGUGGUUUAAUUCGAAGCAACGCGAAGAACCUUACCAGGUCUUGACAUCCCGAUGCUAUUUCUAGAGAUAGGAAGUUACUUCGGUACAUCGGUGACAGGUGGUGCAUGGUUGUCGUCAGCUCGUGUCGUGAGAUGUUGGGUUAAGNCNCGCAACGAGCGCAACCCCUAUUGUUAGUUGCCAUCAUUCAGUUGGGCACUCUAGCAAGACUGCCGGUAAUAAACCGGAGGAAGGUGGGGAUGACGUCAAAUCAUCAUGCCCCUUAUGACCUGGGCUACACACGUGCUACAAUGGUUGGUACAACGAGUUGCGAGUCGGUGACGGCGAGCUAAUCUCUUAAAGCCAAUCUCAGUUCGGAUUGUAGGCUGCAACUCGCCUACAUGAAGUCGGAAUCGCUAGUAAUCGCGGAUCAGCACGCCGCGGUGAAUACGUUCCCGGGCCUNG